AGAUCAAGCGGCUGCUCCGAAGAUGUGAAAGAAAUGGUCCUGCUGCUGAUGGCCUAUUUUGAGGAAAGGGAAGAGAUGAUGCUUUCUAAUGUGGAGGACACCUGUCUGGCAAGGGAAGUCCAGAUGGACAAGCUCCCCUUAACUCCUACCAUUAUUGUCUGUGGUGUUUUUGUUAUUGUGAACUGUAUAAAUCAUGUGUCUGUCUGUCUGUAUGUCUGUGUGUGUGUCUGUGAAUCAGUAUGUGGGUCUGUCUGUGCCCUGAAAAGUGUCAGGAGCCCAGCCAUUCGUUUCACUUACAUUUGAGUGUGAUUCCUUCUUUUUUAGGGUGAUCCUGCUUUACUUCCACGCGGUUUAUGCUCAGUGUUGACAGAACCAUUGUUCAAGAGAACAUCCCCUCCUUUGUGUCGUCAAUAUGUAUGAUGUUUGGAAGCUACUACAGCUUCAACAUCCAUUAUCCAUCCGAGCUGGCAUCCACCCUAGAAUUCCUGCAGAGGUGCUUUUUCUCCAUAAAUCCUGAGAAGGGGUCGAAAGUAGAGAAGACCAGUACCUCCUGUCUACACGUGAACCCCAGAGUCCUCACCUUGAUCCAAGACCUUUCAGAUCAUGAGUGGCAGGACAUCUGAAUAUGGACUCAAAUACUACUUCUCCAUCAACACAGAGGGCAUGGAAGUGGAGAAGAGCAGCAGUUCCUGUCUACACUUGAACCCCAGAGUCCUCACCUUGAUCCAAGAAGGUUUCUUAUGGUUGCUUAGUUACUUAAGCUUGCAUUAUUAUGUUACAUAUUAAAAUAUUGGUUUGAAGUUGUGACAGUCUGGUUGCACGUGUGUUUCUUUAUAUUCAAGGCCUUAUU